rnacentral:lncRNA from 1 species
AGCAGAAAAUAUAAUAUGAGUAAAUUAAGGCACCCGAAUCAAAUUUGUACAGAAGUUGUACUCAAGUAUCAUCUUUUUCAACAAAGCUUAUAUAAGAAAGCGUCAUAAGAAAAAACAUAAAAUGCGAGUGACAUAAGAAGGUGAGUAACAUGAGAAAAUUUAAUUCAAGUAGCACCAAAUGUCCAACCAAGCUAGUCCAUUUGUCACCAAGUCAGAUAGUCAUCUCCAUGCACACAUCUAGACAGACAAUCAAAAAUAAAACAAUAUACUUUCUUUUUUUACCAAGAACUUCGUCACUAGAAUAAAUUAUGGUUUAACUCCUUUUCAGAAGCAAUGUUGGAGGGAAAAAAACUACUUUGCAUAAGCUUCAUAUAGGCACUGCAUUUGCAUUUUGUUUCUCAAUCAAUAAUUGCUUCCACCAAGAGCUCUGCAAGUAAACAAGGAAAAACAUUAGCAUCUAGAGACAUACAAGUAAACAUGAAUGUGUAUGGUUCUAAAAAACAAACAUGAAUGUGUAUGGUUCUAAAAAAACAAGUGUAUGGUUCUAAUACAAACAUGAAUGUGUAUGGUUCUAAAAAAUAAGUUUUAAUACCAACAAGCAGUUUACAAGACAUAUGUUAUGGUUCUAAUACAAACAUGAAAUUUCAGAUACAAAGCAGUUUUGUACAAGUGUUAAAAAACAAGUGUUAAAAGUUUGAAGGAAAUUAAAUUAAACUAGCAAAGAAAUAUUAAAUGACACAACAACCAAGAAAAGAAAGGUUCAGAGAAGUGGAAAUGGCUAAAUCGAUGACUGGCUCAUGAACUGUGAAGGCACACCAAUAUCUCCAAGUACUGAUCACUAUCCUAUGCUUGAAGUGAAGGCACAAUAUCUCCAAGUACUGGUCACUAUCCUAUGCUUGAAGCAGCAACCACAGAUUCAAAUCCUAUCAGUUUGUUCCAUCUCAAUCUUUCCAAACCACUGAAUAUUUAAAACCCCAAACAAAAACACAGUAGUAGAUGAUCACCAGGUUGUUGUCAAGAAUUCAUGUCAGAACAAAAAAAGCAAGUUCAAAUAAUAUACCUGCAUACAAUGGCUGCAGGUGCAUUGUUCUUCUCAAUUCAAUGCUUCCACCAAACAUAAACCAUACUUAUGCCAAGGAUGCAGCCAUUUCAGAAUCUAAAGUGUCCAGGUCAUGCAGGUCAUUUCAGAAUCUAUAUUCUCAGCAAGAACUGUAACUAAACUGCAUAAAGGGCAGCAGAUAGUCUAUAUGGUGAACAAGGAUUAAAUAAAAACAGCAAAGUUAAGAACAAGGACCAAUUGGUCAUAUAGUGCUGAAAUAAAAUGAUGGACAACUAAGCAUUACCUAAUCUAGUAUUCAAGCUAGUAUUCAAAAUGGUCAUAUGGCCCAUACCUCCUUGAAACAAAAUGGAUGCAAACUAGUAUUCAAGCUAGCAGUUCAAUACCUGUUAACUAUAUCUAACAAGCUUAAGGCCUUAAGCAUUUAAUUAGAACAUAGCUACAAAGAAAACAUGCCACCGAACAAACAAGAAGCACAAUCAAUCGGUAUUGCAUCAGUCUCAUUCCAAAUUGAGCCAAACAAAAAUUAUUUAUCAGCAAACAUGUCCACAGAAAACAAUUGCCAUCUAAUUACAGGAAACUCUGAUCUUCUACGACAGGGAAUACAAACAGAGCAAACUGUGUCAUGACUAAAAUCUAAAACUGCUAUGCAAUCUUAGACCUAUGCUGGUGACACAGUGGUUCCUGCAUGGCAAUACAUUUAUACAAAGAAUGGCACACGGAAGCUUGAAAAUACAAACAUUUGGCAAAUGACAGCAGGCAUAUAGUCAAUACCCAUCAGGCCAACCCUACCAACUAUUUACACAAAAGGUCUAGGAGUUCUCCACUAACCUGAAAUGUCUUCAGCUAACUAAGAUGUCAACUAUCAAAGGCAACGCCUGAUAUGUCAACUAAGCAGUAGAAUUUCAGUGACCCAGCAACAGUAAACACAACGAAUAAUGUUAGUAGCUGGAGGCAUAGCUAAAGUUUCAGAAACUGCACAGAACUCUAGUUUGACAAGUAGAAUAAAAAACUGAUAAGAUGCAAAUGCACUACAC